rnacentral:rRNA from 1 species
AUGCACGUUUUCGUAAGGCAAUAUAUGAGGCUUCUUUUUGAUCAAGAGGCAAACGAGAACUAUGAAGAGCGGCGAACAAAGAUAACAUUGCCAGCUAUGAAGGUAAACACACCACUGAAGUUCCAUGCUAGCGAGAUUUACACGCGAGCAAUGUUCGACAAAUUUGGUGAAAACAUGUAUGAAGCAGGACAAUACAUAGUAGAAGAAGUUGAAAAAGGUUCGAAAUAUUAUGUACACCGGUACCACCCGGAGAAACAUGACAAGUGGUGCAGAGUACUGUACAUAGUACAUGUCCUCGCUCAGGAUGAAGAACUGACAUGUGAAUGUGGCAACUUCGGUCACAGAGGAUUGCUAUGCUGCCAUUCAAUUAAGGUUCUUGAUUUCUUGGGUAUAGACAGAAUUCCAUCAAAGCAUAUCUUGAAAAGGUGGACAAAGGAUGCCAGAGAUAUACUUCCAGAUCACUUGGAGUUAGCUGGAAUCUUGUCUUUUUGUAGGUGGGCCAAGUGA